GAAUUGCGAUAAGUAAUGUGAAUUGCAGAAUUCGUGAGUCAUCGAAUCCUUGAACGCACAUUGCGCCUGGGGGCCAUCUCCCAGGCACGCCUGUUUGAGUGUCGUUUUUUCUCAAUCACUAUGCUUAUUGCAUAGGUGGAUGUUGAGUAUUGAUCUCGACAGAGGUCAUUACUUAAAAUACAUGGCUGGUCUUAUUAUAGUCAGUGACCCUUGUAGGAGGCUAUGAGUUGUCAUAUUUUCUGCUAAGGAAACAUGUGCGAUAGAUGAGCUAUCUAAAAGGAAAACUUAACCAAAGCGACCUCAAAUCAGGCGAGACCACCCGCUGAACUUAA
rnacentral:misc_RNA from 1 species